rnacentral:rRNA from 1 species
CCCUUAGAUGUUCUGGGCCGCACGCGCGCUACACUGAUUCAUGCAACAAGUUUUGUCCUUGGCUGAUAGGCCUGGGUAAUCUUUGAACGUGAAUCGUGAUGGGGAUAGAUGAUUGCAAUUAUUCAUCUUCAACGAGGAAUUCCUAGUAAACGCAAGUCAUCAGCUUGCAUUGAUUACGUCCCUGCCCUUUGUACACACCGCCCGUCGCACCUACCGAUUGAAUGGUCCGGCGAAAUCUUCGGAUCUGAGAGAUGUCUGAUUAAUUUCGGACGCCUUUUGGAAAAGUUGUUUAAACCUUACCAUUUAGAGGAAGGUGAAGUCGUAACA